GAUGAAGAACGUAGCGAAAUGCGAUAAGUAAUGUGAAUUGCAGAAUUCAGUGAAUCAUCGAAUCUUUGAACGCACAUUGCGCCCCUUGGUAUUCCGAGGGGCAUGCCUGUUCGAGCGUCAUUAUAACCCCUCAAGCUCAGCUUGGUGUUGGGGCCUGCCGCACGGGCAGCCCUUAAAAUCAGUGGCGGUGCCAUCUGGCUCUAAGCGUAGUAGUUCUUCUCGCUAUAGAGUCCCGGUGGAUGCUUGCCAUUAACCCCCAAUUUUCUAUGGUUGACCUCGGAUCAGGUAGGGAUACCCGCUGAACUUAAGCAUAUCAAUAAGCGGAGGA
rnacentral:misc_RNA from 1 species